AGAAGAUACUCUAGAACUGUACAAGGUUAAAAAAGUAACAUGUAGUUUGUCCCAAGGUGUCUGCCUCCUCACCCAGAGCCAGACCUCCACCUCCUCACCCAGAGCCAGACCUCCACCUCCUCACCCAGAGCCAGACCUCCACCUCCUGUCAGAAGUCCUCCAGAACAGCUGAAAGGGGAGGCUGAGAGGCUGGGGACCGGAGGCUUGUGGUGCCAGGGUGGACCGGAGACUGAGGCUGGAGACCAGGGGCCUGCAGCACCGGACCAGAGGAACGUGUUUCUGGAGCGGAGGCGAGCUGGUAGGGGAGCCGUGAAUCUGGAGGAUGACCAUCACUCUACCAACAAGGAUU
ensembl:lncRNA